UACGUAGGGGGGCAAGCGUUGUCCGGAUUCAUUGGGCGUAAAGAGCGUGUAGGCGGCCAGGUAGGUCGGUUGUGAAAACUGGAGGCUCAACCUUCAGAGGUCGACCGAAACCAUCUGGCUAGAGUCCGGGAGAGGAGAGUGGAAUUCCUGGUGUAGCGGUGAAAUGCGCAGAUAUCAGGAAGAACACCCGUGGCGAAAGCGGCUCUCUGGAACGGUACUGACGCUGAGGUGCGAAAGCGUGGGGAGCAAACAGG
rnacentral:rRNA from 1 species